CUAAUUUACAUUUGCCCCACUCCUUCCUUUCAAUGCCACACCUCUUCCUGUUAAACGACUAACACACACUUUGACUGACAGACACACUCUCAGAUACACUGACAUACACACACUAAUUUGACACAAUCACUGACUCACUGACAUACGCACACAACACAGACACACACACAAUCAAACACAUACUAACUGACAGACACACACACUCUCACUCACUGACAGACAGCCACACAGUGACAGCCACACUGACAGAUUUACACACUGAAAAGACAUACACACACACAAUCACUCAUAUACACACAAACACUCAUACAUACACAUACAAUCAGACACACACAAUCACUCAGACAUACACACACUGACAGCCACCCUCCCCUCCACUCCUCAAACAUUAACC